rnacentral:rRNA from 1 species
CAGUCGCCGCGGGAAUACGAAGGGGGCUAGCGUUGCUCGGAAUGACUGGGCGUAAAGGGCGCGUAGGCGGCGGCCAAAGUCAGGCGUGAAAUUCCCGGGCUCAACCUAGGAAUUGCAUUUGAUACUGUUUGGCUUGAGUUCGGGAGAGGUGAGUGGAAUUCCCAGUGUAGAGGUGAAAUUCGUAGAUAUUGGGAAGAACACCGGUGGCGAAGGCGGCGACCUGGUCCAUUACUGACGCUGAGGCUCGAAAGCGUGGGGAGCAAACAGGAUUAGAUACCCCUGUAGUCCCUGUCUCUUAUAA